GAUCAGUUCUCAUAUGAUCAUUGAAGUUAAGCUAUCUUCAGCCUAGUCAGCACCUUGAUGGGUGACCACUUGGGAAUACCAAGUGCUGUAAG